rnacentral:rRNA from 1 species
UACGUAGGGGGCUAGCGUUGUCCGGAAUCAUUGGGCGUAAAGAGCGUGUAGGCGGUCCGGUAAGUCCGCUGUGAAAGUCGGGGGCUCAACCCUCGAAUGCCGGUGGAUACUGUCGGGCUAGAGUGCGGAAGAGGAGUGCGGAAUUCCUGGUGUAGCGGUGAAAUGACGCAGAUAUCAGGAGGAACACCAAUGGCGAAGGCAGCACUCUGGGACGUGACUGACGCUGAGACGCGAAAGCGUGGGGAGCAAACAGG